ACAGGAGUCAGGCGGUGGGUGAUAAAAUCAAUCGUCGAGAGGGGAACAACCCAGACUAACAGCUAAGGUCCCUAAGUUACAUCUAAGUGGAAAACGAUGUGGAGUUACUGUGACAACCAGGAGGUUGGCUUAGAAGCAGCCAUCCUUUAAAGAAAGCGUAACAGCUCACUGGUCUAGUGAUUCUGCGCGGAAAAUAUAACGGGGCUAAGAUGUACACCGAAGCUUUAGAUUCAAUUUUUAAUUGAGUGGUAGGAGAGCGUUCUAUUCAGCGUAGAAGAUGUACCGGUAAGGAGCGUUGGAGCGGAUAGAAGUGAGCAUGCAGGCAUGAGUAGCGAUAAUUGAGGUGAGAAUCCUCAACGCCGAAAACCCAAGGUUUCCUACGCGAUGCUCGUCAUCGUAGGGUUAGUCGGGACCUAAGUCGAGUCCGAAAGGGGUAGACGAUGGCAAAUUGAUUAAUAUUUCAAUACCAACAUAUAAGCGCGAUGUGGGGACGCAUAGAGUUAAUCGAGGUCACUGAUGGAAUAGUGGCUCGAAGGACGUAGGCUGUUAAGUAGGCAAAUCCGCUUAACAUUAGGCCGAGAUCUUACAGGCUCUUGACACUCUUCGGAGGAGAUGGAGAAUCGAUGAUACUGUCGUGCCAAGAAAAGCCACUAAGUUUAUUAUAUGUUGCCCGUACCGUAAACCGACACAGGUGGGUGGGAUGAGUAUUCUAAGGCGCGUGGAAGAACCCUGGUUAAGGAACUCUGCAAACUAGCACCGUAUCUUCGGUAUAAGGUGUGCCUACUUUUGUAUAUGAACUUGCUUCAAAAAGCGAAAGAGGUUGCAACAAAGAGUCCCUCCCGACUGUUUACCAAAAACACAGCACUUUGCUAACACGUAAGUGGAUGUAUAAGGUGUGACGCCUGCCCGGUGCUCGAAGGUUAACUGAUGAUGUCAGCGCAAGCGAAGCAUUUGAUUGAAGCCCGAGUAAACGGCGGCCGUAACUAUAACGGUCCUAAGGUAGCGAAAUUCCUUGUCGGUUAAAUACCGACCUGCAUGAAUGGCGUAACGAGAUGGGAGCUGUCUCAACCAGGGAUCCAGUGAAAUUGUAGUGGAGGUGAAAAUUCCUCCUACCCGCGGAAAGACGGAAAGACCCCGUGCACCUUUACUACAGCUUGACACUGUAGCUUGGAUAUUCAUGUGCAGGAUAGGUGGGAGGCUAUGAUGACUAGACGCCAGUAGAGUCGGAGCCAUCCUUGA
rnacentral:rRNA from 1 species